GCGUCUAUAGUAUAGAGGUUCGUACGAAUGCCUUCCAAGCAUUUAGGUCGGGUUCGAGUCCCGAUAGACGCA
rfam:Paramecium tetraurelia chromosome undetermined scaffold_66, whole genome shotgun sequence.